rnacentral:misc_RNA from 1 species
AACGCACAUUGCGCCCCUUGGUAUUCCGAGGGGCAUGCCUAUUCGAGCGUCAUUAUCACCCCUCAAGCUCAGCUUGGUGUUGGGGCCUGCCAUCACGGCAGCCCCUAAAAUCAGUGGCGGUGCCCUCAGGCUCUAAGCGCAGUAAUUUCUCUCGCUACAGACCCCUGGAGGCGCCCGCCAGCAACCCCCCAUUUUUUUUAAUGAUUGACCUCGGAUUAGGUAGGGAUACCCGCUGAACUUAA